CCUAAGGUAGCGAAAUUCCUUGUCGGGUAAGUUCCGACCCGCACGAAAGGCGUAACGAUUUGGGCACUGUCUCAACAAUAGACUCGGUGAAAUUGUAAUCCCGGUGAAGAUGCCGGGUACCUGCGACAGGACGGAAAGACCCCAUGGAGCUUUACUGUAGCUUGACGUUGGGUCUUGGUACUACAUGUACAGGAUAGGUGGGAGACUAUGAAGCAUGGACGCCAGUCUGUGUGGAGUCAUCCUUGGGAUACCACCCUUGUAGUACUGGGAUCCUAACCAUAGGCCUUGAAUCAGGUCUUGGAACACCGUCAGGUGGGCAGUUUGACUGGGGCGGUCGCCUCCUAAAAAGUAACGGAGGCGCUCAAAGGUUUCCUCAGCACGGUCGGAAAUCGUGCGAAGAGUGUAAAGGCAAAAGGAAGCUUGAUUGCAAGACAUACAGGUCGAGCAAGGACGAAAGUCGGACUUAGUGAUCCGGUGGUACCGCAUGGAAGGGCCAUCGCUCAACGGAUAAAAGCUACCCUGGGGAUAACAGGCUUAUCUCCCCCAAGAGUCCACAUCGACGGGGAGGUUUGGCACCUCGAUGUCGGCUCAUCACAUCCUGGGGCUGUAGUAGGUCCCAAGGGUUGGGCUGUUCGCCCAUUAAAGUGGUACGCGAGCUGGGUUCAGAACGUCGUGAGACAGUUCGGUCCCUAUCCGUCGCAGGCGUAGGAAAUUUGAGAAGACCUGUCCUUAGUACGAGAGGACCGGGAUGGACGUACCUCUGGUGUACCAGUUGUUCUGCCAAGGGCAUGGCUGGGUAGCUAUGUACGGAAUGGAUAAGCGCUGAAAGCAUCUAAGCGCGAAGCCAACUUCAAGAUAAGAUUUCCCACCGUAAGGGUAAGACCCCAGGAAGACUACCUGGUUGAUAGGUCGAAGGUGUAAGUGCAGUAAUGUAUUUAGCUUAUCGAUACUAAUAGGUCGAGGACUUGACCAA
rnacentral:rRNA from 1 species